AGCAGGGGGAGGACAUGAAUAAUGGGAGAGAGACCAGGUUUGGACACAAAUUGCUAGGGAACAUUUUGGACAGGAAAAUGACUUGAAAGAAGGAAGAAGAUGGAACUCUUCCAAGCCAUUCAUUUGAUGGGCCUCCAUCUCCAGCUGUCCUCAUGAGAGACAUCUCCAAACACCUGCACUGGAUGUGUGGCUGUUCGGAAAUGGAGAAGACUUCCAUUCCUGGACUUGGCAGAUGUUGUUCCAUGCCAACUGUUGACAUCUUUAGGGGGACUUUUGCCAGCGGACGUUUUAACAGAAGACAACGAUCAAUCAUUAAUCUUUAUUACAGUCUGAGACCAGCACAAGGCAAAAGGAA